rnacentral:lncRNA from 1 species
CCUUAACUAAUUAAAUGUGGUUUUCAAGUGAACAUAAAAUAGCAUGUGCUGGCCAUCAGGGAAUGAGAAGUAUCAUCACCUGCAUUCUGCAGUGGAGUGGUACCCGAGGCACUUCUGGGUGUCAGCAGCAACUCACCUGAUGUACUCAACGCUAGUUUGAAACAAUACUUGAAGACUUCACAAGCGUCUUAAACUUUAAAGGCACAAAGGGUGAUUGAGGUUAGAUUACAGCCCAAUUGUGAACCACAGCUAGUAUACAGCUCAUCUAGUCAUAGGUUGUAUGAAGAGUUCAUCUUUUCAGUGUUGCUGCCUUUUGUCUGCUUAAUCUUUCUGCGUUUGUUUCUCCCUUUAAUUUAUUUUUCACUUGUGCUACCUGUCUUGAGAUUGAGUCACAGUCAUCAUCUAUUUGGACUCCCACCUGCAAAUUUCCUUGUUCUCAGUACAUUUUCUGACACACAAUUGAUUCAGUUUUCCAGAAAGCUCUCUUGCUUGGGAGAGUGGUGCUUUGCUCUCUAUUACUAUUAUGCCAUCCACCAAAUCGUCACUCAGCUUUUCCAUGACCAGUCAUCAGCACAGUCUCCUUCCCUCCCUCACAGCUUGCUACCAGCUCUUCACUCAAUGCCCUUCCUUCUGCUGUCAAUUUUAAACUCUGGAGCUUUAUCCCUUGCCUCUCCUUGGGACAUCUGCCUUCACAUCCCCAAAAGCUUCCUGCAUUGCUGUUGCUGCUUCAUGCAACCACACUCCUGUUCCACUUCUGGUGUACAAGGGGGGGUGUCUCUAAACACAUAUUCAUCACCAUGCUUGAGGAGGACAGUUCUGAAAGGUGCUUCUUGCCUCCAGCCAAGCCCCUCAGUUUGCUCCGAUGUCUGCCUCUGUGCCACAGGAACCUGGAGGAGUUGACAAUGAAUGCAAAAAUGUUUUCUGAGCCUUGCGGUUUUUUUGACUGGUUGUUAGCUAUCAAAACACUUUUAAAGUCAGUGUUAGGUGCCUCUUAUACUCAGUUCUCUAGUUCUUUGUAGUCAGCCAUUGUGUUGUGUACAGCUGAGGCACAAC